rnacentral:rRNA from 1 species
AGUGAACGCUGGCGGCGUGCCUAACACAUGCAAGUCGAGCGGCAGCACAGUAAGCUCUUGCUCUUGCCGUUGGCGACGGACGGAUGAGUAACACAUGCAUCACCAACUUCUAUUUCUUGGAUAAUUACGUGAAACCGCAGCUACUACUACCUCAUAUGAUGUACCGCAUGGAUCAGUAGUGCUUCACAGCUUUGCCGUCUGUUAUAGAUGAAUUCGCGCCGCAUUAGCUAGUUGGUAAGGUCACGGCUCACCAAGGCUACGUUCCGUAGCUGACCUGAGAGGAUGAUCGGCCACACUGGAACUGAGACACGGUCCAGACUCCUACGGGAGGCAGCAGUAGGGAAUCUUGGACAAUGGGCGAAAGCCUGAUCCAGCCACACCGCGUGGGUGAUGAAGGUCUUCGGAUUGUAAAACCCUUUUAUUAGGAAAGAAAAAAAGUAGAUGAAAAUCUGGCUGUUUUGACGGUACCUAAAGAGAAAGCCACGGCUAACUACGUG